GUCUUUUUAGUAUAUUAAUAUAAAGUCUGACCUGCCCACUGAAUAAAGUUUGAAGGGCCGCAGUAUUUUGACUGUGCAAAGGUAGCAUAAUCAUUAGUCUUUUAAUUGAAGGCUGGUAUGAAUGGUUGGAUGAGAUACAAGCUGUGUCAUAAAAAUUAAAUUUUGAAUUUAACUUUUUAGUCAAAAGGCUAAAAUAAUUUUAAAAGACGAGAAGACCCUAUAGAGCUUUAUAUAAUAAUUAUUUAAAUUAUUAAGAUUUAUUAAAUUUAACUUUUGUGUUAUAUUUUGUUGGGGUGACAAUAAAAUUUAUAAAACUUUUAUUUUUAUUUAACAUUAAUUUAUGAUUACAUGAUCCAGUUUUAUUGAUUAUAAAUUUAAGUUACCUUAGGGAUAACAGCGUAAUUUUUUUUGAGAGUUCUUAUCGACAAAAAAGAUUGCGACCUCGAUGUUGGAUUAAGAGUAAUUUUGGGUGUAGAAGUUCAAAGUUUAAGUCUGUUCGACUUUUAAAUUCUUACAU
rnacentral:rRNA from 1 species